GGACUGUAGUCAACCCGAAGAACAAUAGGAUCUACAUCGAACUUCUGAAAUAAAUAAUAUAAUCAGUACAGAGAACUAAUAGAAUUAAAAACUAAAACUCAAUAACAAAUCCAAAACAGAUUUUAUAAAAAAAAAAAAUAUGAUAAUAGUUUAAUAGUCAAUUCUAACUUUCCCAUGCAAUAAUUCAUCGAAAAUAAAGCACACCAGAGUAUUACCUGCUGGCCAUAUCCUCAGCUAAACAAGGAACUACAUAAUAUUAUUUAUUUGCUUGAGAACACAGUUUUCUCCAGUUUCAAUCAAGAAUAUCCAACUGACAACAAAGAUAUAAACCAGGGACACAACUUCAAAAACAAUGGCGUAUGACUAGCGGACACAAAAUUAAGUAUGUCUUGACAAAGGUGGGCAUGACAACUCCCACUUCGAGAAUUAAUUAUAUUGAACCAAGACCAAAUUGGUAGUGAAUUAUAUUGAGGGGAAAAAGCUUUUUAGGUUUCUUGGCAAAAUUUCUUCUAGAGUUUUGGGUAAUUAUCGGUGAAUUAGAACAAUUCAUGGAAGGACAAGACAAACACAAAGAACAUGUCCUGAUGAAACAUUAUAUCAUAUGGAAAAAUUAAUCCACAAGUAUAUAGAACUGUACGUAAGCAAAAGCAGUAGUGGCUUAACAGAAUUAUGCUAAAAAGGAAAAGAUGCAAUCAAAAUUAUUAAAUGCUCAAGGUACACCAAGACGCUAAGGUGUCCUGGAGCCUAGGUGCAAGGCACAAACGCGUGCCUAAGCAAGGCAAGGCGUAAAAAUUAAAAAAUAUAUAUAAAUUAAAAAAAAUUAUAAAUA
rnacentral:misc_RNA from 1 species